GAGAUGUAUUGUUAACUAACCG
rnacentral:miRNA from 1 species